UACGGGGGGGGCAAGCGUUGUUCGGAAUUACUGGGCGUAAAGGGUUCGUAGGUGGCCGACUAAGUCAGACGUGAAAUCCCUCAGCUCAACUGGGGAACUGCGUCUGAGACUGGCCGGCUUGAGUGCAGGAGAGGAACGCGGAAUUCCAGGUGUAGCGGUGAAAUGCGUAGAUAUCUGGAGGAACACCGGUGGCGAAGGCGGCAUCCUGGACCAACACUGACGCUGAGGAGCGAAAGCCAGGGGAGCAAACGGG
rnacentral:rRNA from 1 species